rnacentral:tRNA from 1 species
GGUCCUUUAGCACAUACUGGUCUGUGCACCAUGCUCAUAACGUGGAGGAUUUUGGUUCGAUUCCAAAAAGGACCA